UUGGGGGCAGCUCAAGGACUUGUCCCAUCAGCAGUCACCAGCACAGAUGUGUUGAAAAGAAUACAAUGGAGAUAAAAACGGAGCAGAGAAGAGGAAAACAAGUAGUUUCUAAACUGUGGGAUGAAGGAAAGAGGCAGUAAUGCCAUGUUGUUCUCUCUUCAUGAGACCAUCUUGCCAUCCUGCAAAGGUUCCACACCACGGGGCCAUGAACCAUCACCAGUGUGGUUCUUCAUAACUGGACAAUAUCAUUCCAAUGUCAACAAAGUGCUCCUGCAAAAAGUGUCCCCAGGAGCCUGCACUGAACUUAGUGUACAGAGAUGUGCGCACUUGCUGAGAGCAAAGAUGAGUGGACUGGGGAAUCUAUAUGUUUGAAUAAAAAUGCUCUCUCCUAGCCAUAACCAAUUAUUUCAUCUCUUGUUUCUACUGUCUUGGUCCAGUUCCAGGAAAGGGACUGCUUUCUGUGGCCAGGACGCCCUCUUCUGUUGAUGGUCAGUUUCAUUGUUUCAGUGCUUGUCAAGGGAGGUCAUAGUCACAGAGAGAGAAAGAUUUCUCUUCAAAGUCAUCUGAAGCAUCUGGUGCUGUCCAUUGUCACAGACAAAUUACUGGAGGAGAUGAAGCACUAUUCUGAGCUGAAUUUCUGAUGGAACUGGAGAUUUUGACUAGCUGACUUGGGAUUCCUAGGGAUUUUAUGGACUUCCUGCGUGAACCAAAACCUGUCCAUUGGGGAUGCAUCUCUGUAUCACAGCUGGUGUUUCUGAACCUUCGUCUGGAGUAGAAAUUCAUCCCUGAUUUUUUUGGCUGGAUUGACUGUUUAGUCUAGGAACUCUCAAGUACACUUUGUAGGUGCUGGAAUUCCUCAUUCUCUUCAGUCAGCAGCUGAUGUGGUAUGGUGUACAUCAGGGUAUAUAUUCUGGAGUGAGCAAAGAUUUAUGCUCUUCCUAACUCCCAUUGAUGCUAAUGAGUAUUACAGACAUGUGUCCCGUGGAGCAAGAUGAGAACAUACCCCAGACUGUGUGUGGAGUUUGCCAUUAGGGCAUCCACACUGCUAAAAACAAUACAGAGAUCCCAAGGGUAGGAAAGUAAUUGGACCUCUACCCUUUUUUCUAACAACGCGAAUGUAAGAGAUACAUUUUAAAGUCUCUCUCAUUUCUCUCCCUCUCCUACCAGCACCUGUAUUAAUUUUUGGUUAUGAGUGACCUCACAGAAGAAUUGAUUUCCAUUUUUGAAGAUGUUUCCAAAGACUGACAACUCUUAUGGCAGCUUUGGAUACAGAAGAAAAAGCAGAUGUGGCAAAGAAUAAGUCAUAAUAAGAAACUGUCAUCCUUUAGAGCAGUGGUUCUCAAACUGGGGGGUUGGGAC